AUUGAACGCUGGCGGCAGGCCUAACACAUGCAAGUCGAACGGUAACAGGAAGAAGCUUGCUUCUUUGCUGACGAGUGGCGGACGGGUGAGUAAUGUCUGGGAAACUGCCUGAUGGAGGGGGAUAACUACUGGAAACGGUAGCUAAUACCGCAUAACGUCGCAAGACCAAAAAGGGGGACCUUCGGGCCUCUUGCCAUCGGAUGUGCCCAGAUGGGAUUAGCUAGUAGGUGGGGUAACGGCUCACCUAGGCGACGAUCCCUAGCUGGUCUGAGAGGAUGACCAGCCACACUGGAACUGAGACACGGUCCAGACUCCUACGGGAGGCAGCAGUGGGGAAUAUUGCACAAUGGGCGCAAGCCUGAUGCAGCCAUGCCGCGUGUAUGAAGAAGGCCUUCGGGUUGUAAAGUACUUUUAGCGGGGAGGAAGGGAGUAAAGUUAAUACCUUUGCUCAUUGACGUUACCCGCAGAAGAAGCACCGGCUAACUCCGUG
rnacentral:rRNA from 1 species